GAAGAACCAGAAGGAGCCGCAAGCUGGAUCCUAGCCAUUGGAAGUCUUCCUAAGGGUCUGUCCGUGGGUCUGUGUGCUGCUUCUGCACUGGAUGAUUUACAAAGGCAUCAAAGAAGCAAAGACUCAAAUGGGAACCAAAAAUAGGCCGACGAAACAAGAAGUUGGCCUACAGGGUCCCUAAACUUUUUGGGUCAGUGGGCAAAUUUGGAAUUUUGAGUGUCAAAGGCACCCUCAUUACAUGGAGGCCAUGAGGGCAAGAGGCUAGUAUAUUCAUUAAAUGGCCACCAUGGCCCAUCACAAAUGACUCAUUUCCAGAAGACAAGCCGGUGAGACUAAAAUAGAAGUAACUUGCCCAAGAAACUAGAUGCAAGCUAAGGGAAGGGUCUGAGCUCUGAACACAAAACUACUCUUUUGAACCCAAAUAAAGUCGGUGCUGGAAGGCAGCUCUUUGCUCUCCAGUCUGCCAGUCUUCCAGGUUAAAGAAGAAAUGUAAUGAAAUAAAAAUCACAAGGUGCAGGAAA